CAAAGAAAGUGACAGUUAGCCGAUAACCACCACUCGGGCAAGUGGCGUUUUUGUGUGGCCGUCGCCGGCUGGCCGGUAAAGUUGGAUUAAAAUUCCCGAAGUUAAUCCGACCAGAGGACAGAUUGUGGACCAAACAUCUUUAUGUCAUCUCCGGCAAAAUACGAAGCUCAGUUCAGAUUGGCCGUAGCUGCAGGAAGUCCCCGGGUUAGGUUCCGGUGGCCACUUCGAGGUGCAGGAUGCAGGAUGACCAAGUCGUCGAUUCUUCUGAAUACGGUCAUCAGGCCGGAUUUGAUGCGGUCGGAAGUGGUUGCUUCGAUUCUUUCCAGCCAUCGACAAACUCAUCUCGGACCGCCACGGCAAGAUAAAAGGAACAACAGUGAAUAGUGUUUGAGUGAAUUUAUUGUGUAUUGUGAAAAUGUAAAUAAAUCAUCUCUGGUUCAUAAAAUUUGCAAAUUUGA